GACGAAGGGGGCUAGCGUUGUUCGGAAUUACUGGGCGUAAAGCGAGUGUAGGUGGUUGUCACAGUCAGGUGUGAAAGCCUUGAGCUCAACUCAAGAAAUGCACUUGAUACUAGGCGACUAGAGGACCGGAGAGGAUAGUGGAAUUCCCAGUGUAGUGGUGAAAUACGUAGAGAUUGGGAAGAACACCAGUGGCGAAGGCGGCUAUCUGGACGGUUUCUGACACUAAGACUCGAAAGCUAGGGGAGCAAACAGG
rnacentral:rRNA from 1 species